AUACCUUCCUCUUUCAGUACUUCAGCCUUAGACAUGAAAGGCUGUUAGGGCACACACAGUCAAGAGUACAAGAAGUCCUGGUUUAUGUAAGCUGGAAGUGGUGCACCUCUGCAGAGCAGUGCAGAAAAAGCUUAUUUCGUGCUGUGCAGCUUCACUAAAAAGGGAAAUAAUUCCUUCUGGAGGCUUGCAACUGUAUCUGCUCCUAUUAAAGGAUGUGCUGUCUCAUGAGGGAGCUUUCAGAAGAACUAACUGAGAGUGUGUGGGCUAAAGCCACUGAAGCCAGUGUGAUACAAAGCUCCUGCAGACAUCCAUCCAGAUGGACAGGGCAGAAUCAAGUGUCCAAGUCCUAAAUGACUAAGGUCCCUGCUGCCUUCUGAACUAAUCUUAAACAUUUAUAUCACAUAAAUUCUUAUUGAAAACACAAACCUGGAAACUAAAGACUACUGUGGAAAUAGUGUCUCAAAUGUGUAGCAAAACUCUUACUAAUUCCUCGUAGUGAAAAAAAGGUAUUCUAUUAAAAACAGACUUAUCCAAGUUGUUGGAUGCAUAUGUCAGUCAGUUAUGGGAGCCCAGUAGGUCAGACUCAGGAUGGUUUGAAUUAACUGAUGGUUUCAG
rnacentral:lncRNA from 1 species